rnacentral:misc_RNA from 1 species
AAAUAACCUCCCACCAAUAGAGCUGGCUUUUGACAAUCAUAAAUCUUGCAAGCAUUUUAGCCAGCCAUCUACCACUGAUCAAGUGUGACAAUUUCAGUGAAUGAGGCAUGCUUCUCAUUGCUUUGAAAUUGUAAGAACGCUUGUUCCACAUAUGCAUGAUUUGGAACAUACAAUGUAUAUUUUGUUUGACGCAGAAUAUAUGUUGCAGCUGUAUGACAGCAGUGAUUGUUGCUUUUGUGGUUGUAAAAGUGUUAAAAACCCCAGACAGGCUGCUUUUUGGCUGAAGUAGCCCCUAUCUCUUUCAUAUGCUAUUGAGGGUGUCCUGCUGCACAGGACUUCUUGUAUUGUGGAUUCUGUUGGGGGUGGGGUUAGAUAUAUGCAACCUUCUUUUUUGGGAGAAAAUUGAUCUUUGCACCAGGCUUGCCUUUCUUUCUUUUUAUCACAUGCUGAAGUAACAUGAAUCCCAAAUGUUAUGAUUACUUUAUUCUCGGUGAUCUUGUUGAAGCUUUGUAAACUAAAAUAAUAUUUUAUGGAUAUAGGUGAGUUAUAAAGUUCACGUAGAAGUAGUUUGAAAGUUAUUGAAGAAUGGGAGUGUUGGUGGACAUGAGAGGACUUGCCAACAUCUACCCUUUUUAUGAUCUUCAAGAUCACUAGUUGAUAUAGAUUUUCAAAUUCUUCGAGUAUACUUUUGGUAAUCUGCAGAUGUUCUUAAUUACAUCUUUUGGUCUCAUUAGAUUCCAUAUGCUGUAGUGAUAUCCAUUUUAUGAUUGUAAGCAACAUCCACUUUUGGUUCCAGCUAUAAAAUUUAUCUACUACAGCUAAAAAGUUCUGUGUAAUAGCCUACUAUCAAUUUCUUACUCUCUUUGAGUAGCUAAAUCUUCAACUAACAUAGUCGUUUUAUGAUCUAUAAAACUAAAUCUAAUUACAUUUUAUGUUGCUGUCGUGAGACCGUUUACUUGAUUGGCAGCUCAUACAUUGCCAUAAACUGGCAGGAUAUUUAUUGUAAGGUGUGAUCUUAGCAUCUUUAGGUGUUCCAACUCCCAAGGCUAGAAGAAGCUACUGGAAGUCCUGUUGAUUUCCCAAGUUCCAGACAAAGUUUUCCUGUUUACAUGAUAGAAUAUUUUAUAUUUGCCUUAGUGUGGUCCAUUAUAUGUGGAGAGAAAUUUUAUGUAAAACUUAGGCUUGGCAAAUUUACCUGUCAAAAGCAGUAGUUAUAUAUAGCAAACAUUGUUGUCCUUGCAGCAGGUGACUAGACAUGUGAAUGAUAGUGUUUAUCAUUACAAACAAUAGCAAUUUAUUUGAUUUUAUUAUGUUUUGGAAGGAAUGUUAUCAUUCUUCAUCUAUGAGUUAGCAAAUAUUUUUAGUUUCCAGUAUUUUGUGCUUUUUAUUUCUGCCGUCUAAUAUAAUACUUUGCACUUUGCAGGUCCACACCUAAUGGGAAAACCAAAACAAAGACCACUGACGAGUCAGGAUGGCUCUCUGAGUGAUAUGGAUUUGGAUGGAGAAGAUAGUUGGGUUAUUGUUAAAAAGCAGAGAAUCACUAUUUUGAUACCUGCCCUGCCUAAUGCCAGAAAAUCCACAAUGCCGAAGCCAGGAUCAAGUAAGCUGGAAACCAUGCCCUUAAAAGCUGUAAAUAAUACAUCAACAGUGCCAGUUGAGACAUCUAACAGGAUGCCUUCAGUUGAUGAACAAGAGAAGGUGACAUCAAUGGCUCCUAGUAGAGGUACUAUGAUGUCUAAAAGAAUUCCUACACAGCACAUAUUGGCAGUACACAAGCGACCAAGACUAAAUGUAGAAAUAGAACCUGAAAAGCUCGAUAGAGCCCAAACUUUUAAACCUCAUAAUAUGCUUGGGGUAUCAAACAAUUCAAGAACAAUCAAGCAGCCAAGACUAUUGCAUGGGCAAGGGCAUUUCCUUGAUGGGAGCAAGCUGCUAAAUCAGAGGCUAAGGGCAUCACUGCUUGAGAAGAAGCUUCAAAAGGCAGGUGGAUUGAGCAGGUGGCUAGCAUCAAUUGGACUGGGGCAAUUUGUGAAUAUUUUUCAGGGUAGGAGUGUCAGCAAGUUUCAGUUGGUUACUUUAACCAUGAAGAAGCUGAAGGAUAUGGGUGCAGAUGCUGUAGGCCCCCGAAGAAAACUGAUGCAUGCUAUAGACUGCAUUUGCCAGCCUUACUGUUUUGAAGCCUGCUAAAUGUUCACUGAAUCUUGCACCAUCUAGCGAGAUAGGUGAAAGGCGUGACCGCUGCUCUUUGCAUAUGCAUUCUUGUUGUAGAUUCUUCUAGUUGCAACAGGCAAGUCUUCACCAGUCGUGUCAUGGUAAUUGAUAUACAGGAGUGAAAAAUCAAAUUUGAGGCCUUGUUUAUCAUAUUUGUAGUCUGGACAAUUGAUUGAGGAUCAAACAUCUAGUUUUUUCCCGAAAUCUUUUAAACAGGUUUGUGCAAUGUGAAAUGGGUUGAAUUACUCGGGGGUCCCUAGUUCUGCCAUUGUUUGCUAAUUUAUCCUUGGAUUUUGACAGUUAUAGUAGUUAGUCCCUAACUUUGUAUUUUGCCAAUCCCUCUGUCCAUUAGUCCCUAACUUUGUAUUUUGCCAAUCCCUCUGUCCAUUUUUAAAGCUUUUUGCGUAAUUGCAAAGACUAAAAUACCUUCGUUUCCAUUAAACGCAACCCUCUCCCUCCUCCCCUCCUUCCUAACAUUAAAACGCCUUGUACGAGCAACUGAAGCGACUAGUCAUGGAAAGUUUUUAGCCUUACAUUGCUUCCUUGCUCUGAUGAAAAUUUGAAGCCAUACUUUUCCCUUCUUUCCCUUCAUCCACUGAUUUCUUGAUAGCUUGAAUCUUUGAGGCUAUCUUAUGGCGCAACAUCAAAUUCUUGGCAAAGCGAGCUAUUUGAUGCAAAUGGCCAUGCUGUUCUUGCCACAUGAAACGUGUAUUCGUGCUGUCCACAUUUUUCUUUAUCCAACCUUGCGCCUACAUCUCUCAGGAAUUAUUUAAUGGUUUCAAGUUCAUCUUCAACGUCUUCAAGUUGUUUAUGGAUAUCUCUUAGUAGUCUCACCUCUCCGUUGGCAACAAAUCCAACUUGUAAAUGAUGUAAUCCACAAGAGCUUGCAUGUUUGAUCCAAAUUGUCUACGAUUCAUUGUGUUUAUGUAUUUUCUUGAUUGAAAUUCUGCAAUUUGUUGGAAAA